rnacentral:rRNA from 1 species
GUGGGGAAUUUUGGACAAUGGGGGCAACCCUGAUCCAGCAAUGCCGCGUGCAGGAAGAAGGCCUUCGGGUUGUAAACUGCUUUUGUACGGAACGAAACGGUCCUGGUUAAUACCUGGGGCUAAUGACGGUACCGUAAGAAUAAGCACCGGCUAACUACGUGCCAGCAGCCGCGGUAAUACGUAGGGUGCAAGCGUUAAUCGGAAUUACUGGGCGUAAAGCGUGCGCAGGCGGUUUUGUAAGACAGGCGUGAAAUCCCCGGGCUCAACCUGGGAAUGGCGCUUGUGACUGCAAGGCUGGAGUGCGGCAGAGGGGGAUGGAAUUCCGCGUGUAGCAGUGAAAUGCGUAGAUAUGCGGAGGAACACCGAUGGCGAAGGCAGCCCCCUGGGAUGACACUGACGCUCAUGCACGAAAGCGUGGGGAGCAAACAGGAUUAGAAACCCCUGUAGUCC